AGGAUCAGCUACAUCAAACCAUAAAAGAACCAAAGGAGUAUCUUUCAUCUUAACACUAGGCUCUGGAUCAUUAAAAAACCAGACCAAGAGAAAAGGGGGUUGAUUUUAUACAAGGGGCACCAGGUAUUAGCAACACAAAGCCAGUCCCCAAACUUCCCCCAGGAAGGCUGUGCUGGGGUUUUAUGAAUUUGAGAGAGAAUGCUACUACAUGAAGGCAGUGAGUGAAAGGAGAAAAGCCAGGGAAAUAAUUCUCAAGGUUAUACUUGUUCGGUCAACAAUCUAUCUCAGUCUCUAAAUUCUCCUUCAGCAGCCGCUCUGCUUCCACGGGAACUCCUUUCACCAGCUUCCAGCUUUGAGGUCAACGCCAGCUGCCAGACUCAGGGCAAUUAUUGAGCCACUCACGCUGAUCAUCAAGAUACCCAAAUGGAUACCUCUGCCAUCGCUCACUCAUGUGUCACAGCAUUCCCAGCCACCUUUCUAAAUGGCACCGCUCUACCUAUAUUGACCCAAAGAAAGAGAAGAGGAUGAAGUAGUGGUAGUGAACAGAAUAAAUCCCAUUUACCAAGG